rnacentral:hammerhead_ribozyme from 1 species
AUCCAGAUGACGAGUCUCAAACAGGAUGAAAUGAGCAUCCUGGAU